UUGACGCUUCUACGACUCUCAGCUCUCCUCCCUCUCAUUCUCUUGCUUCGUCUAGGGUUUCCUCUUCUCCUCGGUUCUCCAGUAUCCCCCAACACAAAACUCUCCUCGAUUCUCCAGUAUUUGUUGCUUAGUCAAGCUUAGUUUUGACUCUAGCGUUCAUAACAUGCACAUCUCCCCAUCCUCAAAAAGAACACUUACACCAUUGUUUGAAUCUCAUUUCUUUUUUUCUAUUUUCCCUUAUAAAAGCUUCAGCUUUGAGCAUCUAUGGGUAUCAAAAUUUUUUGAAGGAUUUAGAUUUCGUAAUCUCGAUUUGUUCCUUUCGAAGGAAUGUUUUGCUUAAGGUUUUUUCAUUUGUUGUUGUUCUUGUCGAAUUUUGUCUUGGUUAGUCGGUUUGUUCAUUCCAGAUGAAGCUUGUCUUGGACUGCUCAAUUUUUAUUUUUGCGUUGAAGAAUUUAGGUUAGUUGUUGUCUGCCAAAGUUGCAAUCAAAUUAUUUACUUGUUAAGGUUGUUGUCUGCACUAUGCAGUGGAAGUAUUAAUAUACCAUUAUGAUUUCUAGUUUAUGAUUUAGGCGUGCACUGAUGGUUUGCUGAAAUAAAUUGAUUUGUUAAUUGAUUCAUAGUUUGUAUUUCAUAAUAAUUGUUGUAAAUUGUUUCUCUUUCAUAUGCGAUAAAUUGAUAAUUGCUGUAAACUAUUUUAAUUUUAUAAUUUAUAGUUUGGAAAUCGACUGUUUGUAAACCUGUUGUAAGUUAUCCAAAUCUUUCAUUCUUUGGUAUUGUUGCUUCAGACCCGGGUUGGCGGAUUAUGACGGGUUGACAUGGGUUCGAAGUGGGUUGGGUUUGGGUUUGAUAAAGUGACCUGUUUGGUCGGGUCAAAUAGUGUCGGGUUAGAUUCUGUUUGGACCCAAACCCAACCUGAAACCCGAUUUUGACAUCCCUAUUGUAGGAAAAAAAAAAAGGGGAUCUCUAGGGGCGCUAUCUAUUGUCCCUAGCAUUAGAUCAUAGUCAGAUAAAAUAAUGACCGACUCGUUCUAAGCUCACGUGACCUCAAUCAAAUAGCAUUCAACAAAAUAAGCUUCAUAUCUACCUGAUUCCUUAAGAGCCUGAAUUAAGGUUUCACAGAGGGCUUUUGACAUUAGAAAAGUGUCAUAUAUGCUAAGUUGAGCAGGAAUUUUUUUGUAUGUGAGACAAAAUAUUGUAGUCAUUUAAGGUCUAAGGGAGCAUUGUGGCACUAGGUCUUUGAACGCUACAAUUAUAACAUCAAAUAUUUUAUAAAUAUUCAAAUAUACUCAUUUUCCAUUUUGCCAAAAUUUCUUUCCACCUUAAGCAGCCAGCUAAAGAGUGGAGGUGGAGAAUUUCUAGAGAGAAAGAGAGAGAGACUUUUUCGAGCUGCUUCGAGUUGAUUUCGUCUGUUGGGACAGCAUAGAAAAUUAUUCAAGUCAAGGUCAAGAUAAGGGGAAGCGACAUGCUGAGUAGAUAAGGGUUGCAUGGUCCAAGUCAGAGUAUGUAUAAGUAUGUUAGAUUUUUGAUAGUCAUGGAUUUUUCUUUCUAAUCUGUACUGUCUGUGUCAUGCCAUAUUUAUAUAAAAUUAUUUUGAUUAUAAACAUUUCUGAGAUGAAUGAAAAAUUUUUUAUGAUGA